GAUGAACGCUGGCGGCGUGCCUAAUACAUGCAAGUCGAGCGAACAGACGAGGAGCUUGCUCCUCUGACGUUAGCGGCGGACGGGUGAGUAACACGUGGAUAACCUACCUAUAAGACUGGGAUAACUUCGGGAAACCGGAGCUAAUACCGGAUAAUAUAUUGAACCGCAUGGUUCAAUAGUGAAAGACGGUUUUGCUGUCACUUAUAGAUGGAUCCGCGCCGCAUUAGCUAGUUGGUAAGGUAACGGCUUACCAAGGCGACGAUGCGUAGCCGAGCUGAGAGGGUGAUCGGCCACCCUGGAACUGAGACACGUUCCAGACUCCUACGGGAGGCAGCAGUAGGGAAUCUUCCGCAAUGGGCGAAAGCCUGACGGAGCAACGCCGCGUGAGUGAUGAAGGUCUUCGGAUCGUAAAACUCUGUUAUUAGGGAAGAACAAAUGUGUAAGUAACUAUGCACGUCUUGACGGUACCUAAUCAGAAAGCCACGGCUAACUACGUG
rnacentral:rRNA from 1 species